rnacentral:rRNA from 1 species
ACGAACGCUGGCGGCGUGCUUAACACAUGCAAGUCGAACGGAAAGGCCCCUUUGGGGGUACUCGAGUGGCGAACGGGUGAGUAACGCGUGAGUAACCUGCCCUUGACUUCGGGAUAACUUCAGGAAACUGGGGCUAAUACCGGAUAGGAAUCCUUGCUGCAUGGUGGGGGUUGGAAAGCUUCGGCGGUUUUGGAUGGACUCGCGGCUUAUCAGCUUGUUGGUGGGGUAGUGGCUUACCAAGGCUUUGACGGGUAGCCGGCCUGAGAGGGCGACCGGCCACAUUGGGACUGAGAUACGGCCCAGACUCCUACGGGAGGCAGCAGUGGGGAAUAUUGCACAAUGGGCGGAAGCCUGAUGCAGCAACGCCGCGUGCGGGAUGACGGCCUUCGGGUUGUAAACCGCUUUCAGCAGGGGCGAAGCUUGUGGUGACGGUACCUGCAGAAGAAGCACCGGCUAACUACGUG